UUGAAUACUGUGAAAUGUGUUCCCUCUAUAAAAACGAUUCGAUAUUGUAUAUAUAUUUUUUUCAACCUAUGGGAAUUGCUUGCAAAACUGGCCUUAAAGGGAAAAACCUCCUGUAUUUAGUUUAGGCACUUGUUUUUUGUUUGGGCUGACUCAGGUCAUGGCUUGUUCACAGCUGGUGAAGCAAUUUGCUUAUAACUACCGCUCACUAAUCCCGAUAAGAGGCUUUCUCAGAACUGCUUGGUUUUGCACUUGGAAAGCGAACACAAAUACAUCAGUAGUUUCCUCACACUUAGCUGCAGUUCAGCAGCAGGCGUGAAAAAGAAAAACGUGUGUCACAGAUCCCGACUACUAGGAAAUCACAGUGAUGUCCACAUGAUGACUUCGGGUUUGUGUUUGUUUCAUGUCCGCUGCUAGUUUCAGUUAUUAGACUCUUAGUUAUGAUUAAGGACUGAAUUCUAACUCAUUUUUAAAAUGUAAAAAAAAAAAAAAAAUUGAGUGAGGUAAUCUUUCUUUGUGAACGGUCUUUUAUUUUCUUAAGAAAAGGUGAGAUUUCCAUUUUCCUCAGGAAAUCGCUUACAUGUAUGAAUACAAUAUCUCCUUUAUUUCCUUGUCAAAAAGGCAAAGGACAAAAACUGUACAGUAUGUUGUAUCAUUUUGGACUAUUCCCAGCCAUUGAUAGUCGGAACAUUUUUUUUGGACAAACAUAAGCCUGGCGAUGAUGAAAAUAGAAGUCUUGUGUAUCAUCAUGAAAGAAGACUAUUGUGGAGGACAACAGUAGU